AUUGAACGCUGGCGGCAUGCUUUACAUAUGCAAGUCGAACGGUAACAGGGGAGCUUGCUCCCGCUGACGAGUGGCGAACGGGUGAGUAAUGCAUCGGAACGUGCCGAAUAGUGGGGGAUAACGCACCGAAAGGUGUGCUAAUACCGCAUACGCCCUGAGGGGGAAAGUGGGGGACCGCAAGGCCUCACGCUAAUCGAGCGGCCGAUGUCGGAUUAGCUAGUUGGUGGGGUAAAGGCUCACCAAGGCGACGAUCCGUAGCGGGUCUGAGAGGAUGAUCCGCCACACUGGGACUGAGACACGGCCCAGACUCCUACGGGAGGCAGCAGUGGGGAAUUUUGGACAAUGGGGGAAACCCUGAUCCAGCCAUGCCGCGUGUCUGAAGAAAGCCUUCGGGUUGUAAAGGACUUUUGUCCGGGAGGAAACCCUGAUCGUUAAUAGCGGUCGGGACUGACAGUACCGGAAGAAUAAGCACCGGCUAACUACGUGCCAGCAGCCGCCGUAA
rnacentral:rRNA from 1 species